UGGCUGUCAUGCCGUCAGAGUCUGCCGCCAUGGCCGCCAGUCUCCUAGCUGCUGUGGUUGGGGGUCUGCUGUGUAUGGUCACUGGAAAACCUCUGCCACCGGAGUUGCCUUGAAACACCAUCGGAGUCUGACAGCACCACUGCCGGAGUUCUGAGGCCACCGGAACCACCGCCAGAGCUUCUGGCUACUUUUGCCGUUGCCGAAAAAGUUGCCGUUGAUCCACCGGAGUUUUUGGCCGCUGCCGAAGCUGUUGCUACCGUCGGUUCGAAAUCGCAGCUGCUUCGUGUUGUCAUUUCGCUUGGGGCCGAGGUUGCGGUUGUUGGUGAUCCCGAUUUAAGAAAGGAGGUUCCUGUGACGCGUUUGGGUUAUGGAAUUGCGUUCUAAGGAUAUGGGCACAGAAGUCACGAAGAGUUUAUUUUUUUGUUAUUGAGAUGCUCUGUAUUGCUUUAGAUUAUUAUUUUUGUACCCUCACCUUUAUCUUGAUAUAUUCUGUAAGAGGGAUAGGAAUUGUAUUGGGUAAUGUUUGUAAUAUUAUUUGUAUAUAUGUAUGUAUAUAUAUAUGGAUGUACUCUUUAUGAGUUUCUGUAA